rnacentral:rRNA from 1 species
AGCUCAAAUUUGAAAUCUGGCGUAAGCCCGAGUUGUAAUUUGUAGAGGAUGCUUCUGGGUAGCGGCCGGUCUAAGUUCCUUGGAACAGGACGUCAUAGAGGGUGAGAAUCCCGUAUGUGACUGACUUGCACCCUCCACGUAGCUCCUUCGACGAGUCGAGUUGUUUGGGAAUGCAGCUCUAAAUGGGAGGUAAAUUUCUUCUAAAGCUAAAUACCGGCCAGAGACCGAUAGCGCACAAGUAGAGUGAUCGAAAGAUGAAAAGCACUUUGGAAAGAGAGUUAAAAAGCACGUGAAAUUGUUGAAAGGGAAGCGCCCGCAACCAGACUUUGCGGCGGUGUUCGGCUGGUCUUCUGACCGGUUUACUCGCCGCCGUGAGGCCAUCAUCGUCUGGGACCGCUGGAUAAGACCUGAGGAAUGUAGCUCCCUUCGGGGUGUGUUAUAGCCUCUGGUGAUGCAGCGCGUCUCGGGCGAGGUCCGCGCUUCGGCAAGGAUGAUGGCGUAAUGGUUGUCGGCGGCCCGUCUUGAAACACGGACCAAGGAGUCUAACAUCUAUGCGAGUGUUCGGGUGUCAAACCCCUACGCGUAAUGAAAGUGAACGGAGGUGGGAACUUUUUGUGCACCAUCGACCGAUCCUGAUGUCCUCGGAUGGAUUUGAGUAAGAGCAUAGCUGUUGGGACCCGAAAGAUGGUGAACUAUGCCUGAAUAGGGUGAAGCCAGAGGAAACUCUGGUGGAGGCUCGCAGCGGUUCUGACGUGCAAAUCGAUCGUCAAA